rnacentral:rRNA from 1 species
GGGGGGGGGGGGGGGGGGGCCGGGUGCGGGCGGGGCGGGCGAGCAGGCGAGGGGCUGGCUGCACGGGCGUGAGGGGCGGGCGGGUUGGUCACACGUGGGUAACCUACCUAUAAGACUGGGAUAACUUCGGGAAACCGGAGCUAAUACCGGAUAAUCUAUUGAACCGCAUGGUUCAAUAGUGAAAGACGGUUUUGCUGUCACUUAUAGAUGGAUCCGCGCCGCGUUAGCUGGUUGGUAAGGUAACGGCUUACCAAGGCAACGAUGCGUAGCCGCCCUGAGAGGGUGAUCGGCCACACUGGAACUGAGACACGGGCCAGACUCCUACGGGAGGCAGCAGUGGGGAAUCUUGCGCAAUGGGCGAAAGCCUGACGGAGCAACGCCGCGUGAGUGAUGAAGGUCUUCGGAUCGUAAAACUCUGUUAUUAGGGAAGAACAAAUGUGUAAGUAACUAUGCACGUCUUGACGGUACCUAAUCAGAAAGCCACGGCUAACUACGUG